rnacentral:rRNA from 1 species
AACGAACGCUGGCGGCAUGCCUAACACAUGCAAGUCGAACGAAGGCUUCGGCCUUAGUGGCGCACGGGUGCGUAACGCGUGGGAAUCUGCCCCUCGGUUCGGAAUAACAGUUAGAAAUGACUGCUAAUACCGAAUGAUGACUUCGGUCCAAAGAUUUAUCGCCGAGGGAUGAGCCCGCGUAAGAUUAGGUAGUUGGUGGGGUAAAGGCCUACCAAGCCGACGAUCUUUAGCUGGUCUGAGAGGAUGAUCAGCCACACUGGACUGAGACACGGCCCAGACUCCUACGGGAGGCAGCAGUGGGGAAUAUUGGACAAUGGGCGAAAGCCUGAUCCGGCAAUGCCGCGUGAGUGAUGAAGGCCUUAGGGUUGUAAAGCUCUUUUACCAGGGAUGAUAAUGACAGUACCUGGAGAAUAAGCUCCGGCUAACUCCGUGCCAGCCGCCGCGGUAA